rnacentral:rRNA from 1 species
CAAAGGUUCAAGAGUCAGUAGGUGAGAUUGAUGAAUUG